rnacentral:tRNA from 1 species
GGAUUUAGCUCAGUGGUAGAGCGCUUGCCUAGAAAGUGCAAGGCCCUGGGUUCGGUUCCCAGCUCCA